AUGCUCUAUUAUAGGCUAGACUUCCAUGAUCUAGCCCCAAACUCCUUCCUCAACAUCUCGGCAUUCAUUAUCGUGUGCGAGGCUUUCCUUCGCAUCCAACCCCACUUUGGCCUGUGGCUCAAGGUCUUCAACGUGAAGCCGAAGGUGAUGGAUGGCGAGCAUGCGGAGUGCGGAGGCGCCAUGGUGAGCAAGAUGCCCAAUGCCAUCUGGCCAAAAGGUACUUUCGUGGAGACUAUCAAGGAGUGGCAGAAACUGUGGUUCUAUAUCACAGAGCCUCGUGGCGUCACGUGGGCCGUGGCUGCCGAAUUCAACUCCGGAGCUACGAUGCGGCUCACUUCCUGGAUUGAGAAGGGCCCAAAUUGGUCUUCCUCAGAUGAGCUGAUAGCGCUGCAAACGCGCGUUCAAAGCAUGGUGGAUAAAGAUAUCAAGCUCGUCGACGUAAUCCAGGUGAUGCUAGUUCGCCGGAUUCUCCUGUGCCAAAGCCGAAGCCGCCCUUUAUUGGAAUUCAAUCCGAGGAAGCACCAAGCUCUGGAAAGGCUCUUUGGAACCACUCACGAAGACGCCUGGAAGUUGCUCUUCAAAGGCAAUGAGAUGCCGCCGGCCAUAGAUUCAGACCGUGGGCACGACAUUACCCACCCUGCCAACGAGGUAUGGACAGAGAGAGCGGAGCAGAUUUGGUGUCCGGCUCCGCUGCCCGAGGAACCAGUCAUCCCGGGCCUGGCGAAGAUGCUGGUACCGGUGCCCUAUACGGCACCGGAGAAGAAGGCCAAGGGGGUCCGGAGUGGCCCGCACCGCAAGAGCAGUUCGGACGUGACGUCUGAAGACAAGACCCGCUCCUCUGCCGCCGAAGACGACGAGUAG
rnacentral:rRNA from 1 species